rnacentral:pre_miRNA from 1 species
AUUCGUUGGAUGAGUGUAAGGCAUUGGAUCGAUUUAACUCAAUCCAAGCCCCACAUUCAUCAGAGAUUCGU